rnacentral:ncRNA from 1 species
UUUGCUAGGGGAGCGAAAGCUGAGAAAGUAUUUACUUGACCCUUAGAACUUGAUGCGGGUAGUACCGACGUAGGGAAGCAAAAAAA